AAAAAACAAAAUUUUAAUUGUUUUCAAAACAAUCUCAAGCGGUCGGAAGUUUUUAUUUUGCUUUUUCUAGAUUUUUUGUUACUUUGUGAGUGAAUUUAACGUUAAAUAAAAAUUAUGAGAUUUAACGAGCGUUCUUCUCAUCCCACAUUGGUGCAAAUAGAGGCAUUGAUAGACGUUUUGGAUUAAAAGCUAGCGAAACAAAAGGUUUAAUCGUAUCUCAACAUGUUCAAUAAGAUAACAAGGAUAUUAAAAAAUAUAGGAACUAAAUUCUCUUGUCAGAUAUGAUCCAUUCCCGGAGAGAUAUUUAGGACAUGUUAACAUCUAUUUAUGUAUGAUAAAUCUAUCUACUACGUUUUUAUUGAUAUUCUAUUUUAACAGGGAAUAUCGGUAAUUUAUCUGUAUCUCAAAUUCACCAACAAAAAAAAAUUAUAUUGAAUUAAAUAAAUCAAAUCAUUAACAAUUUAGGUAUUUGCAAUACCUGUUGGAUUGAUGUUGUUGGAAUGUUAUUAUUGAUGCAGAGGUGACUGUAUCUAUGGUAAAGAGUGUGCACACCGGUACAGGGGUGGCAGGCCGUGCCAGAGUAUUGACUAAAUUGACAUUAUGUAGGCUAAAGACUGCAUACUCCGUUUAAAAUCAAUGAACAAAAUUUAGGCAUAACCUAUUUAUUAUAUUUAAGGAACUACAACAGAUUGAAAAUACUAAUCCACAUUAACAGAAUAUUGUAAGGAGAAUUCAUUGCCAACUCGGAAAAUGUAUCAGUAUUGGAACAAUCCCAAAUAUCCUACAGCAUUGCAUCAAGAAUCACCUAUUUUGCAGUCAUCCUCCCCUAACUAAAUGCAAGUGAC